UGGGCCUGAGGUGGCCGUGGCCAUGA
rnacentral:piRNA from 1 species